GAUGAACGCUGGCGGCGUGCCUAAUACAUGCAAGUCGAGCGAACAUAUCAGGCGCUUGUUCCUCUGACGUUAGCGGCGGUCGUUUGAGUAACACGUGGAUAACCCACCUAUACGACUUGGAUAACUUCGGGAAAUCGGAGCUAAUACCGGCUAAUAUAUCGAACUGCAUGGUUUAAUAGUCAAAGACGGUUAUGCUGUAACUUAAGGAUGUAUCCGCGCCGCAUUAGCUAGUUGGUAAGGUAAACGCCUACCAAGGCGACGAUGGGUAGCCGGACUGAGAGGUAGGACGGCAACAGUGGGAAGGGGACACGGACCAAACUCCUACGGGAGGCAGCAGUGGGGGAUAUUGCAAAAUGGAGGAAACUAUGAUGCAGAGACGACGCGUGAGUGAAGAAGUAUUGCGGUAUGUAAAGCUAUAUCAGCAGGGAAGAUGAUGACGGUACCUGACUAAGAAGCCCCGGCUAACUACGUG
rnacentral:rRNA from 1 species